rnacentral:rRNA from 1 species
UACGUAGGGUGCGAGCGUUGUCCGGAAUUAUUGGGCGUAAAGAGCUCGUAGGCGGUCUGUCGCGUCGAUCGUGAAAACUUGGGGCUUAACCCUGAGCUUGCGGUCGAUACGGCAUGACUGGAGUUCGGCAGGGAGACUGAAUUCCUGGUGUAGCGGUGAAAUGCGCAGAUAUCAGGAGGAACACCGGUGGCGAAGGCGGCCACUGGGACGUCGAUACUGACGCUGAGGUACGAAAGCGUGGGGGGAGCAAACAGG